rnacentral:lncRNA from 1 species
GAGGAUAUGGGAACAGAAUACCUUGUCCGGCCUGUAGUACCAGCUGAAGAUGAAGAAGACGCUAGUGAUUUUGAACCAGAAGAAAAUGGUGAAGAGGAAGAAGAAGAAGAUGAUGAAGACGAUGGAGAAGGUAGUGGAAAGAUCGAAGCUCCGCCAAAGAGGAAGAGAACAGACAGAGAUGAUUCCGAUGACAACGAUGAUGACGGCGGAGACGAUGAUGAGAGGCCUUCAAAGCGAUAGGGCUAAAAGAACACCACCGAAUAGCUUUUGCCAUGACAAAGGUCAAAUCUCUCUCCCUCCCUUUCUCUCUUUUAAAAAACCCAUUUGGCUUUCUGUUUGGUGUGUUAGAAAAAACAAAAAAAAA